rnacentral:lncRNA from 1 species
UCGAUUCUUCGGACGCUUUGGAUCGUCAGCAAAGGUACAUGAGAGGUUGAUGAAGCUCUUCCUGAAGUCUGGUGGGCUCACGAUACUCGUAGCUCACAUUUUCACUUCCCGAACCCUAGGCAAUAACCCUAGGGUACUCACAGAAAACCCUGCGUCCAGUCUCUCUUCUUUUCUUUUCUUUUCUCACACACAAGGCCUUUCUCAUGCCAUCCUUUCUCUCA